AUAUAUCUUCUGAUUCAACCAAGUGAAAAUGUGGCUUCAGAGGAGGUGACAAAGUGUGACCAUACCCAAAGCCAAGUUCUGCAACUUGACUCUGAGAGCCUGCUGUCUCCACUGAAUUUGAUUAUGUGCUAUCAGGAGAAUCCAUCUACUGCCUGCAGCUGUCGAGCUCCUCUCCUGGUGAAGGGUGUUAUCAUAUGUUUGUCCUAAGAGAAGCAGUGUGGAAGAUACUGCUUGGAUGGCUACUGAAUUCCCAGUGAUUCUGCAUUCCUUGGAAAUGGGCCUAGUGACCAGAGGCUUAAAGUCUAGUCCUCUUUCUUUGG
rnacentral:lncRNA from 1 species